rnacentral:rRNA from 1 species
UGAGGCAAUAACAGGUCUGUGAUGCCCUUAUAUGUCCUGGGCUGCACGCGUGCUACACUGAUGCAUACAACAAGUGCCUAACCAGACAUGGCAUGGCAAUCUCGAAUAUGCAUCGUGAUAGGGAUAGAUCUUUGCAAUUAUAGAUCUUGAACGAGGAAUUCCUAGUAAGUGCAAGUCAUCAUCUUGCAUUGAUUAUGUCCCUGCCCUUUGUACACACCGCCCGUCGCUCCUACCGAUACCGGGUGAUCCGGUGAACCUUUUGGACCUGCAAGGGGAAGAUAAGUAAACCAUAUCACCUAGAGGAAGGAGAAGUCGUAACAAGGUUUCCGUAGGUGAACCUGCGGAA